rnacentral:pre_miRNA from 1 species
AAUCAUAAGAACACAGUAAACGCUUCCUUUCUUGCAAACUGCUUAUUUUGAAUAAGGAGGAUGAGCUACCUGCUUCUAAUCAUCGU